GUUGGGUAGGGGAGCGUUCUGUAAGCCUGCGAAGGUGUACUGUGAGGUAUGCUGGAGGUAUCAGAAGUGCGAAUGCUGACAUAAGUAACGAUAAUGCGGGUGAAAAACCCGCACGCCGGAAGACCAAGGGUUCCUGUCCAACGUUAAUCGGGGCAGGGUGAGUCGACCCCUAAGGCGAGGCUGAAAAGCGUAGUCGAUGGGAAACGGGUUAAUAUUCCCGUACUGGUGGUAACUGCGAUGGGGGAACGGAGAAGGCUAGGUUGUCCGGGCGACGGUCGUCCCGGUUCAAGCAGGUAGGCAGAGUGAUUAGGCAAAUCCGGUCACUUAAUGCUGAGAUGUGAUGACGAACCACCAAGGUGGUGAAGCAAUUGAUGCCCCGCUUCCAGGAAAAGCCUCUAAGCUUCAGGUUACCAACAAUCGUACCCCAAACCGACACAGGUGGUCAGGUAGAGAAUACUCAGGCGCUUGAGAGAACUCGGGUGAAGGAACUAGGCAAAAUGGUGCCGUAACUUCGGGAGAAGGCACGCUGGCGGUAGGUAAAGUCCCUUGCGGACGGCGCUGAAGCCAGUCGAAGAUACCAGCUGGCUGCAACUGUUUAUUAAAAACACAGCACUGUGCAAACACGAAAGUGGACGUAUACGGUGUGACGCCUGCCCGGUGCUGGAAGGUUAAUUGAUGGGGUUAGCCGUAAGGCGAAGCUCCUGAUCGAAGCCCCAGUAAACGGCGGCCGUAACUAUAACGGUCCUAAGGUAGCGAAAUUCCUUGUCGGGUAAGUUCCGACCUGCACGAAUGGCGUAAUGAUGGCCAGGCUGUCUCCACCCGAGACUCAGUGAAAUUGAACUCGCUGUGAAGAUGCAGUGUACCCGCGGCAAGACGGAAAGACCCCGUGAACCUUUACUAUAGCUUGACACUGAACAUUGAGCCUUGAUGUGUAGGAUAGGUGGGAGGCUUUGAAGUGUGGACGCCAGUCUGCAUGGAGCCAACCUUGAAAUACCACCCUUUAACGUUUGAUGUUCUAACCUAGGCCCAUAAACUGGGUCGGGGACCGUGUCUGGUGGGUAGUUUGACUGGGGCGGUCUCCUCCUAAAGAGUAACGGAGGAGCACGAAGGUUGGCUAAGCAUGGUCGGACAUCAUGCGGUUAGUGCAAAGGCAUAAGCCAGCUUGACUGCGAGAGUGACGGCUCGAGCAGGUACGAAAGUAGGUCUUAGUGAUCCGGUGGUUCUGAAUGGAAGGGCCAUCGCUCAACGGAUAAAAGGUACUCCGGGGAUAACAGGCUGAUACCGCCCAAGAGUUCAUAUCGACGGCGGUGUUUGGCACCUCGAUGUCGGCUCAUCACAUCCUGGGGCUGAAGUAGGUCCCAAGGGUAUGGCUGUUCGCCAUUUAAAGUGGUACGCGAGCUGGGUUUAGAACGUCGUGAGACAGUUCGGUCCCUAUCUGCCGUGGGCGUUGGAAGAUUGAGAGGGGUUGCUCCUAGUACGAGAGGACCGGAGUGAACGCACCACUGGUGUUCGGGUUGUCAUGCCAAUGGCAUUGCCCGGUAGCUAAGUGCGGAAGAGAUAACCGCUGAAAGCAUCUAAGCGGGAAACUUGCCUCGAGAUGAGUCUUCCCUGUC
rnacentral:rRNA from 1 species